AUUGAACGCUGGCGGCAUGCUUUACACAUGCAAGUUGAACGGUAACAGGGUGCUUGCACCGCUGACGAGUGGCGAACGGGUGAGUAAUGCGUCGGAACGUGCCGAGUAGUGGGGGAUAACGCAUCGAAAGGUGUGCUAAUACCGCAUACGUACUGAGGUAGAAAGUGGGGGACCUUCGGGCCUCACGCUAUUCGAGCGGCCGACGUCUGAUUAGCUAGUUGGUGAGGUAAAGGCUCACCAAGGCGACGAUCAGUAGCGGGUCUGAGAGGAUGCGCCGCCACACUGGGAAGGAGACACGGCGCAGAAGCCUACGGGAGGCAGCAGUGGGGAAUUUGGGACAAGGGGAGGAAGCCUGAUGCAGCCAUGCCGCGUGUCUGAAGAAGGCCUUCGGGGUGUAAAGGACUUUUGUCCGGGAGCAAAUGCCUGGUGUUAAUAGCACUGGGAGCUGAGAGUACCGGAAGAAUGAGCACCGGCUAACUACGUGCCAGCCGCCGCAGUAAGAC
rnacentral:rRNA from 1 species